rnacentral:rRNA from 1 species
GAUGAACGCUGGCGGCGUGCCUAAUACAUGCAAGUCGAGCGAACGGACGAGAAGCUUGCUUCUCUGAUGUUAGCGGCGGACGGGUGAGUAACACGUGGAUAACCUACCUAUAAGACUGGGAUAACUUCGGGAAACCGUAGCUAAUACCGGAUAAUAUUUUGAACCGCAUGGUUCAAAAGUGAAAGACGGUCUUGCUGUCACUUAUAGAUGGAUCCGCGCUGCAUUAGCUAGUUGGUAAGGUAACGGCUUACCAAGGCAACGAUGCAUAGCCGACCUGAGAGGGUGAUCGGCCACACUGGAACUGAGACGCGGUCCAGACUCCUACGGGAGGCAGCAGUAGGGAAUCUUCCGCAAUGGGCGAAAGCCUGACGGAGCAACGCCGCGUGAGUGAUGAAGGUCUUCGGAUCGUAAAACUCUGUUAUUAGGGAAGAACAUAUAUGGAAGUAACUGUGCACAUCGUGACGGUACCUAAUCAGAAAGCCACGGCUAACUACGUG